rnacentral:rRNA from 1 species
AUGAACGCUAGCGACAGGCCUAACACAUGCAAGUCGAGGGGCAGCACAAGGAGCAAUCUGAGGUGGCGACCGGCGCACGGGUGAGUAACACGUAUGCAACCUGCCUGUAAGCGGGGAAUAACCCGUUGAAAGACGGACUAAUACCGCAUAAUACUAAAUUACUGCAUGGUAAUUUAUUUAAACAUUUAUGGCUUACAGAUGGGCAUGCGCAUGAUUAGCUAGUUGGAGAGGUAACGGCUCCCCAAGGCAACGAUCAUUAGGGGUUCUGAGAGGAAGGUCCCCCACACUGGUACUGAGACACGGACCAGACUCCUACGGGAGGCAGCAGUGAGGAAUAUUGGUCAAUGGACGAGAGUCUGAACCAGCCAAGUCGCGUGCAGGAAGAAUGUUCCCUAUGGAUUGUAAACUGCUUUUGCAGGGGAAUAAAGUGCAUCACGUGUGAUGUUUUGUAUGUACUCUGCGAAUAAGGAUCGGCUAACUCCGUGCCAGCAGCUGC